rnacentral:lncRNA from 8 species
AUGGAGCACUUCAAGUCAGCAUUUGACAGUCUGAUCUCACAAGUGAGAAAAAAAGGCAGUUUGUACUUGACCUCGUCUGCUCCUUUUAUUUACCAAGUUGUGUUUGAUGAGCACUUAAAAUGCUUAUGUAAACACGGUGUUAAACCAGAGGUUACCUAUAAACAUUGUACCAUCUACAUGGUGCGUCCAGCUCUGAUAUUGUUUUUCUUGAUUCUCUGGAUGGAUGGAGAGUUUCAACGAGUCUUGAGAAUUACAUGCAGAUGUAGCUGUAAUUGUUGGGGAAGACUGUUGUCAAGCCUCAUUAAGGCGACUGCUAUAGGGUUGCUGUGGGUUGUGUCUGUGCUUUUUGAUGGGGACUGGUACGUGUGCUAUAAAAGAGCAAUGCUUCCCUGCAGGAACAACACCACACCCUCCCAAGAGGAACUAGAAAAGAAACAUGAAACUAAUUUCAAAAGGCAGUCCAUGAAAGAAACAACAGAGGAAUUACGGAGAAGAGGUGAGUUCCAUGUCAUUGUGUUGACAUAAAUCAAUGUCAAACAGAAUGUUGCAACACUAUUCUUCAGAUUGGAAACAAUAAGGACCAUUUCUGACUGAUUUGAGAGCUCAUGCCAAUGAUGUGUUUGUAUUCAUCUAAAUUAUUAAUAACAUGUUAUGUCAACUUACAGACCUGGAUUCAAAUACUCUUUGCUUUAGCCUGCCUGGUGCUAGAUGGACAGGUUUAUAGUAUAGUCGGAGAGCCUGUUUCUGUCCUGCCCGUGACUUUGGAGCAGGGCAUGUGAUGUCCAUAGCCUCUUUGUUGCAAAACUCCCUGAUCUUCUCAAAAAGAUGUCCAGUCCUGGUGGUGCUUGUACAGGCAGGCCAUCUAUGGGAGGAUGGAUGUCAGCGUUGAGCAACAGCUGAAAUCUGGUCCCGACUGAGUCCAAACGCUCCUUGGCGAAAACAACACCAGGCUCCAGAGCAUCGAAGCAAUUAAACAGGAAAUAACAAAAAUACAAUUUAAGACAUUACAACCUUGCACAACAUCAAUUCACCUCCCAAGUUUAGAUACGAAGAAUAACCUCAUACAAAGCAAUGAAAAGGAUAUUCACAAGAAAUGCUGGUACUGCUUGAUCUGUGGCAGCGGCCUGAAGUACAGAGUCAGGUGUUGUUGCCAGCCAUAGCUUUCCACCAGCAGCGUACCAUCCUCCAGUCCAACCAGCUAUGGGAUGUUGACCCCUGUCACAGUGCUGUCCUUCACAACACCAGGAAUCUCAGACAAAGUGUUCACUCUGGUCUUUCUGAAGCGCUGCUUGAUGAGGCUGAAGCAGCAGUCGGGGUUAACUUGGUGUGGCCUGUGAUCAGGAAGUGAAGGUCCAGACUCUGCUGGAGCUUGUGCAUGGUCCGCCAGGCACAAUACCAGAGCACAAACGUGUUCUUGUUUUGGCCACCUCAGUUAUCAAAAUGCAGGUACACACGUGUUUCCCCAACUCCGUGGUUGGUGAUGAAAUGGUACAUGUAGUUGAUGACUGCGCUACUGUCUUUGCUGGAUGACAUGCCUUCAGCAAUCAAGUAGUUGACUUGUUCUGGUAUUCCUUCACAGCAGACACCAAACAAGAUACCCUUGCGAGCAGCGAAAAAGUAGAUGGGAGCUAGUUGCAUAGGGUAAGAAGGAUAAUUGUCUCACCCCUGUCAGUCUGUCUUUACACAGCUCAGUGAAAGGUAUUUGCCUGCCUCCCAUAUAUAUAUAUAUAUAUAUAUAUAUAUAUAUAUAUAUAUAUAUAUAUAUAUAUAUAUAUAUAUAUAUAUAUAUAUAUAUAUACUGCUCAAAAAAAUAAAGGGAACACUUAAACAACACAUCCUAGAUCUGAAUGAAAGAAAUAAUCUUAUGAAAUACUUUUUUCUUUACAUAGUUGAAUGUGCUGACAACAAAAUCACACAAAAAUAAUCAAUUGAAAUCCAAUUUAUCAACCCAUGGAGGUCUGGAUUUGGAGUCACACUCAAAAUUAAAGUGGAAAACCACACUACAGGCUGAUCCAACUUUGAUGUAAUGUCCUUAAAACAAGUCAAAAUGAGGCUCAGUAGUGUGUGUGGCCUCCACGUGCCUGUAUGACCUCCCUACAACGCCUGGGCAUGCUCCUGAUGAGGUGGCGGAUGGUCUCCUGAGGGAUCUCCUCCCAGACCUGGACUAAAGCAUCCGCCAACUCCUGGACAGUCUGUGGUGCAACGUGGCGUUGGUGGAUGGAGCGAGACAUGAUGUCCCAGAUGUGCUCAAUUGGAUUCAGGUCUGGGGAACGGGCGGGCCAGUCCAUAGCAUCAAUGCCUUCCUCUUGCAGGAACUGCUGACACACUCCAGCCACAUGAGGUCUAGCAUUGUCUUGCAUUAGGAGGAACCCAGGGCACACCGCACCAGCAUAUGGUCUCACAAGGGGUCUGA